rnacentral:rRNA from 1 species
GACGAACCGUGCGAACGUUGUUCGGAUUCACUGGGCUUAAAGGGCGCGUAGGCGGCCCGCCGCGUCCGGGGUGAAAUCCUCCCGCUCAACGGGAGAACGGCCUCGGAUACGGGCGGGCUGGAGGCGGGUAGGGGCAGGCGGAACUGUGGGUGGAGCGGUGAAAUGCGUUGAGAUCCACAGGAACUCCGGUGGCGAAGGCGGCCUGCUGGACCCGAUCUGACGCUGAGGCGCGAAAGCCAGGGGAGCGAACGGG